CAUGGAGGGUGAGAAUCCCGUUCGGUUAACCAAAGCGCUUUACGAUACGCUUUCAAAGAGUCAAGUUGUUUGGGAUUGCAGCUUAAAAUGGGAGGUAAAUUUCUCCUAAGGCUAAAUAUUGGCGAGAGACCGAUAGCGAACAAGUACCGUGAGGGAAAGAUGAAAAGAACUUUGAAAAGAGAGUUAAACAGUACGUGAAAUUGUUGAAAGGGAAACGAUUAAAGUCAGUCGUACCUACGAGUGAUCAACCUACUAGAGUGCGAUUUUGUGGGUAUGUUAGAGUUUAAACCUUCAUGCUUACAAAUUGGUACUCUUUGGGCGUACUUUCUCGUAUGGUAGGUUAACAUCAAUUUCGAUCGUUAUAAAAUGACUGGAGGAAUGUAGCUUCGAUUUCGGUUGAAGUGUUAUAGCCUUUGGUAGAUGUAAUGAUUGGGAUUGAGGAUUGCAACGGAUACCCUCUGGGCUAUUCGUCUGAUCUCUGGAAGUUACCAUGGUGUCGAAAGCGUGCUUACGAUAUUAAGGUUGACGGCCAAUAGGUUAGAACGUGAUUAAAUUCGUUAAGGAUGUUGACGUAAUGG
rnacentral:rRNA from 1 species